AAUGAACGCUGGCGGCAUGCCUAACACAUGCAAGUCGAACGAGCACUUCGGGACUUGUGGCGCCCGGCUUUGUCACGCGAGGGAACCUGCCCUUAGGUUCGGAAUACCUCCACGACUGGGGUGCUUAUACCGGACCAUGUCUUAGGCCCAAGAAUUUAUCGCAUUUGGUUGGUCAAGAGUUGCAUUAGCUUGUUCGUAGGGUAAAAGCUUAAUACGGGGACCAUCCGUAGCUGGUCUGAGAGAAUGAUUAGCCACACUGGGACUGGGACACGGCCCAGACUCCUACGGGAGGCAGCAGUGGGGAAUAUUGGACAGUGGGCGAAAGCCUGAUCCAGCAAGGCCGCGAGAGUGAUGAAGGCCUGAGGGUAGUAAAGCGCAUUUACCCGGGAUGAUAAUGACAGUACCGGGAGAAUAAGCUCCGGCUAACUCCGUG
rnacentral:rRNA from 1 species